rnacentral:lncRNA from 1 species
GGGGACACUGAGGGCUCUGGGGACACACAGAGAGGGGUCUGUAGGGUCCUUGGGUGGUGCGUAGGGAUCCUGAGGGGUUUGUGGGGACAGAGGGCUCUGAGCUCAUUGCCCCCUCCCCACAGUGGAGCAGCACAAGGAGGCACUGGAGAGGUCCUGGCAGCAGGUGCAGGGUGAGCCCAGGGGGCCCUGGGGUCUUUGGGACCCCCCCCAAAACCUCCCCUGAUGCCCCCUGACCCCCUUGACCCCCAUGAUUCCCUGACCCUUGUGGCCCCUCCUGACUCCCCCACAGGGGUUGGGACCCCCUUGGCCCCUGUGACCCCCUGACCCCCCUGACCUCAACCCCUGUGACCCCCCUGCCCCCCCAGAGUCGCUGCAGAGAGCACAACUGCAAGGGAAGGAGGUGGAGGCCAAAGGUCAGAGGUGAGUGGGAACACCUGUGACCCUCCUCAACCUCACCUGUGUGCCCCCCCAAAACACUCCUGGUGCCCCCUGACCCCCCACAGGCGCUGUGGGCUCUGCCUGGAGCAGCAGCAGGACAUGGAAGGGACAAAGCAGCACUGGAAGCAGCUGAAAGACCGUCCCCUCACCCUCAGGUGGCAGCACUGCCAGCAGCUCGAGUCCAUCAUGGAGGCCCCUCCCACCCCUGUCCCCCCACAGGCUCCGGCCCACCUGGAGGCUGAACUGGUGCAGCUGGAGAAGAUGGAGGAGAAGUGGCUGAACUGGGAGCGCCGUGUGAUGGACACCGAGGAGCAGCUGGGCCCACAGGCACCUGUGCUCAGGUGAGUGCCCAGCUCUGGCCCCGCCCCCUCCAAGGUGACCCUGCCCACUCAGGCCUGGCCCCGCCCCCUAACCCCCAUCCUCGCAGGCGAUUGGUGCAGCAGGACCAGGAGGGGGCGCAGCGACAGCUGGAGGUGGAGCUGGGCCGGCAGCGGCUGAGCCGGCGGCGCCGUGACAGGUGUGUGACACCUGGGGACAGGUGUGUGACCCCGGGGACAGGUGUGUGACCCCGGGACAGGUGUGGGACCCCUGGGGACAGGUGUGGGACAGAUGUGAGGGACAGUAUGUGACCCCUGGGACAGGUGUGUGACCCCGGGACAGGUGUGUGACACCUGGGACAGGUGUGGGACAGGUGUGCCCCUGUCACCUGCCCCACCCACCUCUGGCCCCGCCCCCAGGUUGGCCGAGGAGCUGCAGCAGCUGCAGCGCCCCCGCGAGGCUCA